rnacentral:rRNA from 1 species
GAUGAACGCUAGCUACAGGCUUAACACAUGCAAGUCGAGGGGCAGCACAGUGUAGCAAUACAUGGGUGGCGACCGGCGCACGGGUGCGUAACGCGUAUCCAACCUUCCCGUUACUCUUGGAUAGCCUUCCGAAAGGGAGAUUAAUACAAGAUGGUAUUCAAAUUCCGCAUGUUAUUUGAAUUAAAGAUUUAUCGGUAACGGAUGGGUAUGCGUGACAUUAGAUAGUAGGCGGGGUAACGGCCCACCUAGUCUACGAUGUCUAGGGGUUAUGAGCAGUAGGUCCCCCAUACUGGAACUGAGACACGGUCCAGACUCCUACGGGAGGAAGCAGUGAGGAAUAUUGGUAAAUGGUCGGGAGACUGAACAAGCCAAGUAGCGAGAAGGAUGAAGGUUCUAUGGAUUGUAAACUUCUUUUAUACGGGAAUAAAACCUCCCACGUGUGGGUACUUGUAUGUACCGUAUGAAUAAGCAUCGGCUAACUCCGUGCCAGCAGCCGCGGUAACAC